CAGUAUUAUAACACGGAAGUUGACUAUUUACUAUUUAGUCAACCUAAGUUCAGAAAUAAACUCUCCAAGAGACAGGCGGUGCCUAGUGUGGAGAGUUUUUAGCAAGCUGUUAUGUGUAAACGUUUUCAAGGUAGCGUUCGCAUGACCACCAGUGGGAUGUUUUAAUCUGAGAAUGCGACCUCAUGGGUCACCGAAUGCUAACCGUAACUGAAAUGCUCAGAAAGUUAACUUCAAUUGCAUUAAUAGAAGAUACUGAAGCUACAGACGAAUUAUAGGAAAGUAGCAGAUGAAUACCGGUGUACUGUCGUGAACGCCUAUUGGAUCCAUCUCCGGAUAUAAAAAAUAUUUUAAAAUCUUUGAAAGACAGUAUUAGUUAAGAAUAAAAUAAAAUAAAAUUGGAAAAACGAAGAGCAAUAGACGAUAAAAUUCAAAUGACAAUCUAGAUAAGAUUAAGAAGAGAUUAUCUGUAGAACAAAAAAUAUGUCAAAACUUUUUGAAUUUGGAAAGAAAAUUAAAUAUGUAUUAACAAACAAAAAAA